GGGACAUGUCAAGUCAGAAGUUGCUGCAGCUGAGGUCAGAGUUAUUGAAGCUAUAUUUUGAAUGCAGUUGAUAAUUCUCCUGAAUUAUUGAAUUUACUUGGGUGAAACUAUUCAUUCUACCAACACUUAUUAAGCACCAGCUGUAUACCUUUAUUAAGCAAGUACUGUGUAAGGCUCUUGGAAUUCAUGGGAAAUAAAUAUUCUCUGAUUUUAAGAGGCUUAAAAUAUAGUAGGGAGAAACAGAAUUACAAAAAGCUUAAGUGCACUAAUAUUUCCUUGAAAUGCUAAAAGAAAAAGGAAUGAGAUCUUAUGGUCCAAGAUAGUUAACUCUCUGAACUUACAAUAAAACUAUUCUGAAUACUUAUUUGAUAGAAUUUACUUACAUAGCACUUUAAUUUCUAAUUUAUUUUCACUUAGAAAUUUCAAAUUCAUGAAAAUUACAUAGAAAAAUGGGAGAGAGAUGAAAAGAUGAGAGUUGAUAGCAACAUUCUGUACCUAAUAGUUAUGAAUUGUAUUAUUUAUUUUCGCUCUAUUAAUUAAUUCAAAAGGUUUGAUUUGGUUCUGGCUAAUGGAAAAGCUAUGUAUAUCUGUUGUAUACUAUAAAUAUUUACAUAUUUCCAUUAUUUAAUAAUUAAAUACUGUAUAAAUUCCAGACUGUACAUGUGAGCUAAUAUAGUCACACAUUAAAAUGUGACAUAGUAUCCUAAUAUUAGAAUUCAUGUAUGAGAAUAUGAAUGGUCAUUUCUCAUAAAUUUGAUAGUGUUUCCCAGAACUGAAGACUCCAAGAAAAAAAAAAAAAAGUACAUGCAUAAAGUACUCUCUAUAGACCUGGAGGGAUUUUACAGGAAAAUAAUGGGAAGAA